AACGAACGCUGGCGGCAUGCCUAACACAUGCAAGUCGAACGCCUAUAGCAAUAUAGGAGUGGCGCACGGGUGAGUAACGCGUGGGAACCUGCCCCGAGGUGGGGGAUAACCGAUGGAAACGUCGGCUAAUACCGCAUACGUCCUAAGGGAGAAAGAUUUAUCGCCUUGGGAGGGGCCCGCGUCGGAUUAGCUAGUUGGUGGGGUAACGGCCUACCAAGGCGAUGAUCCGUAGCUGGUCUGAGAGGAUGAUCAGCCACACUGGGACUGAGACACGGCCCAGACUCCUACGGGAGGCAGCAGUGGGGAAUAUUGGACAAUGGGCGCAAGCCUGAUCCAGCAAUGCCGCGUGAGUGAUGAAGGCCUU
rnacentral:rRNA from 1 species